UGGGGGUUCCAUGGGUGCCUGGAGCUGCCGAGGCCCCAGGGACGUUCAGGGGUCCUGGGGUCCCCACGGUCACCCCCUCCCCUUUUCCUUGCAGCCACCAGGAAGCCCCAGGACAGGACCCCCCGGAGGAGGGGGCGGUGCUGGACCCCCACUUGGGCACCGAGCGGGCAGGGGGUGACCACGAGGAGCUGCCGGGACCCCAGGA